GACGAACGCUGGCGGCGUGCUUAACACAUGCAAGUCGAACGAGUUGCGAACGGGUGAGUAAUACGUGGUUAACCUGCCCUCCUUUUUGGGAUAAGCCUUGGAAACGGUGUCUAAUACCGCAUAAGGGGGUAUGGACUCGCGGCAUGUCAUCUUGUUGGUGGGGUGAUGGCUACCAAGGCGUGACGGGUAGCCGGCGUGAGAGGUGGAUCGGCCGGAUUGGGACUGAGACACGGCGCAGACUCCUACGGGAGGCAGCAGUGGGGAAUAGUGGGCAAUGGGCGCAAGCCUGACCCAGUAACGCCGCGUGAAGGAAGACGGUCUUCGGAUUGUAAACUUCUUUAGACAGGGACGCGGUACCUGUAGAAUAAGCCACGGCUAACUACGUGCCAGCAGCCGCGGUAAUUC
rnacentral:rRNA from 1 species